UUUAAAUUGAGAGUUUGAUCCUGGCUCAGGAUGAACGCUGGCGGCGUGCUUAACACAUGCAAGUCGAGCGAUGAAGUUUC
rnacentral:rRNA from 1 species